AAUUAUUUUUUAAAAGAAGGGGAAUGGGUCCUGCCUCGUAGUCCUGGUGAGCCGAUUCACACACUCACACUGAUAUUAGCCUCAAUCUGCCAAGCUUUCUUUUUCAAAAUAAAUUUGGAGAUGUGCCCCCCCCCCAAUAUCUUUGAAUGCAGUUAUAUUAAUCCAAAACACGAAAGAAAAGAGCAGUUAAUUUGGUAAACAAACAAUAAACCCCACUUCAGCAAGCAGCAAGAUCAGCGCCCUAGCACAGCUGGCAGCCACAUAAUAGCCCAGCGCAGCACCGUGAAAAUUCGCCAGGAUGCCUAUAAUACGUGCGCGGUCAUGCAGCCAAUUUUUGCUUGGCACAUACAGCAAGUUUCGGAGCUAAAAAACAUUGUUUCAGUAAUCAAAUCACUUAGAUAUUUCAUAUGCAGGUAAUUAAAUAAAUAUUCUACGAAGAUAUAUAACGUUCAAAACUAUACAUACCUUCCUUUUUUGAAAUUCAAGGCAUCGAAUCCGUCUCCAAUCUUUUGAUGGUCGACGUAUCUCAGUCCUUGUUCAUCGUACGGAAAAAAAAUAAGCGAUAUCAAGUGGGAUUCCCGAUCUCUUGAUCGAUACCCCAUUCAUGAUGUAAGGUCUAAAAAUAGCCCCGCUACAGCGAUUUUAGCAGAGACAUGCACUGUGCACUCGAACAAGAGGCGGAACGAUAGCGCGGUGCAAGGAAAUAACCAGCCGAAGCGCGGAUUGUCACGUACCUAAUAAAUAUCACGAAUCGUAAAAUAUUUUUUGACAUAUACUUCUUCAUCAUGGAGCCUUGAACCGCCUCCCAUAUAUGUGGGUCAUUUCACACUAAGUGUACACUUUUAGUCUCACUGGGGGUCAAAAAUGAGAGUUGUUGUUGGGACAUAAUAUCUAAAAUUACAGAGCGUCAAGUCCAUUUUUACAUGUUUAAAUAGUUAACUGAAAUAUGGUAACAAAAAUAGGCGUCUGGAGAGGAUAUUUUGUUUAACAAGAAACACAUCAACUUUAUAUGGUAGUGUGACCUUAAUUCGCGCGUUACCUAAUUUUGCGCACGGGCGAAUACCUCAAUAUCUAAUUAAUAUUUAGAUAAACUGAUAUCACCAACAGAAAGAGCGACUUGAAAUUGCCCAGUAUAGUAAUUUUCUUGGAAGGUAAGGUCUCUAUUAAUGAAAAUAUUAGCAAAACUUCUGCAAAUUUUGUUACCUUUUGCGUCCGCUCCGAGAAAAUCCGACCUUCUCGACAAGCAUCAAGAAUUCGCCAGUUUGCAAGCAGAAGUCUCCAAAUAAAUAAGUAAAAUGUGAUACCAACCAAAUUUAUGGCAUUUUAACCUCCAUCUGAUAUAAUUAUCUUACCUUUGUCUGCUUGAUUUCUUUUCUAAAGCCUUACAAAAACGAUUGUGCGCAAAUCAAGGUCACCCUUUAUAUGACACUUUUUCAGCCGAGUGCGCACUAGUCGAUCGCCAUGGAAUUUUGAGAGCGCAAUACCAGCGAAACCCUUGACCUACUUUAUAAUUCUAUCAAGUGAAUUUGACUUUAGGAUCUUGCCUUCCGUUUGGUAUCCAUGAUUUUGAUUAAUUUUGUGUGAGCUGUGAGAAAUUUAUGAUUGAAAAUCAACUUCAUGUUGAUUUUUAAAAUGUGCGCAAAUUAUGGUCACCCCAUCAUAACCCUGUAUUAUUAUACAAAUGGUUUUGCGUUCAUUUGUAGGCAUCUGUAUUGCUUAUCAAAUGUCAAUAUACUCAUUUUACCUUCAGGCAUACUGUAUUUUGCCAUGAAAUAAGUGUGUGGUAUGGCAAAAUGAGAUAUGAAGGGGUAAAAUUUAUGUAAUAACAUCAUGGAAUCCAUUUUUUGUCUCGCCUGCAUAGCAGAGCGAGACUAUAGGCGCCGCUUUUCCGACGGCGGCGGCGGCGUCAACAUCAAAUCUUAACCUAAGGUUAAGUUUUUGAAAUGACAUCAUAACUUAGAAAGUAUAUGGACCUAGUUCAUGAAACUUGGGCAUAAGCUUAAUCAAGUAUUAGUGAACAUCCUGCUUGAGUUUCAGGUCACAUGACCAAGGUCAAAGGUCAUUUAGGGUCAAUGAACUUUGGUCAAGUUGGGGUUAUUUGUUGAAUUACUAUCAUAACUUUGAAAAGUUAUGGAUCUAGUUCAUGAAACUUGGACAUAAGGUUAAUCAAGUAUUAGUAAACAUCCUGCCUGAGUUUCAGGUCACAUGACCAAGGUCAAAGGUCAUUUAGGGUCAAUGAACUUUGGCCAAAUUGGGGGUAUUUGUUGAAUUACCAUCAUAACUUUGAAAAUUUAUGGAUCUAGUUCAUGAAACUUGGACAUUAGGUUAAUCAAGUACCACUGAAUAUCCUGUGCGAGUUUCAGGUCACAUGACCAUGGUCAAUGGUCAUUUAAGGUCAAUGAACUUUGGCCGUGUUGGGGGUAUUUAUUAAAUUACCAUCCUAACUCUGAAAGUUUAUGGAUCUAGUUCAUAAGACUUGGACAUAAGAGUAAUCAAGUAUCACUGAACAUCCUGUACGAGUUUCAGGUCACAUGACCAUGGUCAAAGGUCAUUAAAGGUCAAUAAACUUUGGCCAUGUUAGGGGUAUUUGUUGAAUUACCAUCCUAACUAUGAAAGUUUAUGGAUCUAGUUCAUAAAGCUUGGGAUACAAGAGUAAUCAAGUAUCACUGAACAUCCCCUGUGAGUUUCAGGUCACAAAACCAAGGUCAAAGGUCAGUUAAGGUCAAUAAACUUAGGCCAUGUUGGGGUAAUUGUUGAAUUGCCAUCAAAGUUUAUGGAUAGAGUGAAUAAAAUGUGGACAUGGGUGUAGUUGACAAGUCUUAAGUCACCGUUCAAAUGUCAUUUAUGGUCAAUGAAUGUGGUAUUAUGUCAUUAUAUGAAUGAUGUUUUUGUGAAUGAUUAUUUUAUAGUAGUUUUCAAAGUUAGCACUGCUGCUAUAUUAAAUCGCGUAAUGCAGGCGAGACUGCCAGAGGCGUUCCACUUGUUUCUUUUGAUAUAGCUUCAAAUUUGAAUUACACUGUUUUAUUUAGGUCUAAACCACCCAUGGGUGUAACUCUGCCGCCGUGUACAGGAAAAUUGAAGACACGGCACAUUCAACAAUGCAACAAAUUCCUGCAAAUUUAAUAAGAGGAUUUACAGAAUGAAGUCCUCCUACGAAACUUACCAAACGAUGCGAAGUCAAUUCCUCCUAAUAUGAGGAAUAUCCCUCAAAUAGCUUCAUUUCAGCAUUGAUUUUUCUUCUCGUUGACAAAAUAUGGAGCAACCUUGCGAGUUCUCAAAUUUUUCGUCUAAUGAGCGAAAGAGGGCGCGUGAUUUAUCUUCAUAUCAAAGACACUACAAGGGAAAGACUAGACACAAAAACUAUCUUACACGUAAAUCGAUGCAAAGCGUUACGCGAAGUCGGCAAAGUGUCCAAUCUUUUUACUGUAAAGACUUUGGUGGAACGUUAAUUGACAAACGAAUGGUAGCACUUGCGGGGCUUCGUUCAAGGUACGUAGAAUUUUUUAUAUUUUUUGUUUAAUUUGUCAUCGCUUUGAAUAUUUUCCAAAAAGUAUUAUCGUCAGCAAAAAUAAUAAAAAAGUACAUUUUUUAAGUUAUUGCAUUUUUUGGUGUCUCUAUGUUAUCAAACAAUCAUUGGAAUUGCGCAUACAAAAAAUCAAGAAUCUAGUUUUAAAAAUACAGACAAGCUGAAUUAAGGUUGUAAACUGUAUUAGCGCCACCAGCGACCUUCCUUUUAUUUCCAUGGAAGAGGCAUGCGAAGUCACUUUCUUGGCCAAGGUAAGCGAUUUUGCUUUUUUUAUGUCCAUUUAAAAAAUAUGUUAAAAAUUGAAAAUGGAACGUUUUUCACCAGAAAAAGCCCUGGGGUGGUAUUCUGAAAACGUUCUUAUCUUUGUUCUUAUCUUUGUUCUUAUCUCAAUGAGAUAAGAAGACGCUAAAAUCAUUGCAAAUCGGUAUUCUGAAAAUCUUCUUAACGCGUUCUUAUCUCUGUAAGGACUGCCUCCUUCUUAUCUUCAACACGCCCAUUUUUGUCUCGCCUGCAUAGCAGAGCGAGACUAUAGGCGCCGCUUUUCCGACGGCGACGGCGGCGGCGGCGGCGGCGUCAACAUCAAAUCUUAACCUAAGGUUAAGUUUUUGAAAUGACAUCAUAACUUAGAAAGUAUAUGGACCUAGUUCAUGAAACUUGGACAUAAGGUUAAUCAAGUAUUACUGAACAUCCUGCCUGAGUUUCAGGUCACAUGACCAAGGUCAAAGGUCAUUUAGGGUCAAUGAACUUAGACCAUGUUGGGAAAAUUAUUUUCAAAAUCUUAACCGAAGGUUAAGUUUUUGAAAUGACAUCAUAACUUAGAAAGUAUAUGGACCUAGUUCAUGAAACUUGGGCAUAAGAUUAAUCAAGUAUUAGUGAACAUCCUGCUCGAGUUUCAGGUCACGUGACCAAGGUCAAAGGUCAUUUAGGGUCAAUGAACUUUGGUCAAGUUGGGGGUAUUUGUUGAAUUACUAUCAUAACUUUGAAAAUAUAUGGAUCUAGUCCAUGAAACUUAGACAUAAGGUUAAUCAAGUAUUAGUGAACAUCCUGCUUGAGUUUCAGGUCACAUGACCAAGGUCAAAGGUCAUUUAGGGUCAAUGAACUUUGGCCAAGUUGGGGGUAUUUGUUGAAUUACCAUCAUAACUUUGAAAAUUUAUGGAUCUAGUUUAUGAAACUUGGACAUUAGGUUAAUCAAGUACCACUGAAUAUCCUGUGCGAGUUUCAGGUCACAUGACCAUGGUCAAUGGUCAUUUAAGGUCAAUGAACUUUGGCCAUGUUGGGGGUAUUUGUUAAAUUACCAUCCUAACUCUGAAAGGUUACGGAUCUAGUUCAUAAAACUUGGACAUAAGAGUAAUCAAGUAUCACUGAACAUCCUGUACGAGUUUCAGGUCACAUGACCAUGGUCAAUGGUCAUUUAAGGUCAAUGAACUUUGGCCAUGUUGGGGGUAUUUGUUAAAUUACCAUCCUAACUCUGAAAGGUUACGGAUCUAGUUCAUAAAACUUGGACAUAAGAGUAAUCAAGUAUCACUGAACAUCCUGUACGAGUUUCAGGUCACAUGACCAUGGUCAAAGGUCAUUAAAGGUCAAUGAACUUUGGCCAGGUUGGGGGUAUUUGUUGAAUUACCAUCCUAACUCUGAAAGUUUAUGGAUCUAGUUCAUAAAACUUGGGAUAUAAGAGUAAUCAAGCAUCACUGAACAUCCCCUGUGAGUUUCAGGUCACAAAACUAAGGUCAAAGGUCAGUAAAGGUCAAUAAACUUAGGCCAUGUUGGGGUAAUUGUUGAAUUGCCAUCAUAACUUUGAAAGUUUAUGGAUAGAGUGAAUGAAAUGUGGACAUGGGUGUAGUUGACAGUCUUAAGUCUCCGUUCAAAUGUCAUUUAUGGUCAAUGAACGUGGUAUUAUGUCAUUAUAUGAAUGAUGUUUUUGUGAAUGAUUAUUUUAUAGUAGUUUUCAAAGUUAGCACUGCUGCUAUAUUAAAUUGCGUAAUGCAGGCGAGACUGCCAGAGGCGUACACUUGUUAAGAUAUUACCAAUCAAAAUGCGCUUUAUAUUGGCAGUUUAACCAAUAAAAGCGUUCCUUAUGUGAAGAGAAUAUCAUGGGCGCUGCGCGUGCACUGUUUCUUGCGCACUGCGCGAAAUAGGCAUUUUAUACGCAAUGACUGAUUAUUAUUUCGAGACACGUGCACAAAAUAAAGAAAGAAAGAAAGUAAAGAAAAAAGGUAAAGAAAGCAGUUGCGAAUAAGAAUAAAACAGGAAGAGAGAAGUAAAGUAAGUAGGUAAGUAAGAAGACAGAAAAGGGUCAGAAUGAAGCAGAAAUUUAAAAAAAUAAAAGGAUCAAUGCAGAAAACAAUGAAAGAAAGAAAAGGUAAACGAAAGAAAGCAAGCAAAAGGAACUUUAAAGAAAAUUUUAAAAAUGAAAAGAAAUAAAAAGGAAAGAAUACAAGAAAAAAAAAGGAGGAAUACAUAGAAUGAUAAUCAAUGAUAAAAAGAGGAAUAUAAAAUUGAAGGAAAAAUAAAGAAGGAAUAGGAAAAAAAACUUAAAGGGGAAAAAACGAAAAAGUACAAAAUAAACAGAUUAAAAGGGAUAAAAUGAAGGAAUAAAGAACCAAAAAAAGUUAGAAAAAACGAA